AGUUCCACUUUUUGAAUUAAAUUACGGAAAAAAAUGUACUUUUCCACGAUAUUAUUUUUUUUUUGAGAUGCACCGGAAUAAGUUGAGGGCUAGGAGCCGCGUCAACAUCGGCGAGGAUUUUCAGCGGUGGAGAGACCUCUGAGAGGUAAAAAGCUUGAAGACGGAUGCAGAAGUUGCUCUUUUUCUUCACAAUAGAGGAUCAUCAUCAUCGGCAGCAUCAUCAUCAUCAGCACCAGCACAAACCCCCUUUUCCUCCUCAGGAAGUUUAACAUUUUCCCUGACUGCAAUCUUGUUGAGAAUUGCAGUAACCACUACAACAGCACAGGUUUCAGCGGUUCAGCUUCAGGCCGCCACUGGACUUGCCGAUGCAGCGAAAACGUUGUUUCCACACUCCUAUAGCCCUCUCCACUAUAGAGCGUGUCCUUCCAUGGGCAUGAUUGAACCUUUCUUCUGCAGUGGUGGCUGGAUGCUGCACAGGUGUCAAGAGGUUUGGGUGAAGAGGAUAUCCACUGUCUCCUAGCAGCCAGCUGUCACCAAAUUGCUGAAUUGGCCCAUUUAAAAGAGUUGUGUGUGCUUCCGGGCCAUUUUGCCACAAUGUCAGUGAAGACCCCCAGGUGAUCACACACUACUUGAACAUUAAUGGCUGGAUAGCCCUUCCUGCAAAUGUACAAGGGCUCAUUCACCACAGGACUUGCCACUGGGAUAAGGGUGCCAUCGAUGAUGCCAAUCACUCUGGGGAUGUUGGCAAUAUUAUGGAACUGUUGAUUGGCCAGCUGGAUUUCUUGAGUAGGAAGCAAGCAUGGUGUUCUGUUCAUAAGCUGUAACAGCAAAGGUGUUACUGCUGUCACAGCCUUGCUGACCGAAGACUUGCUGAGCCACAGGCCAUCACCAACCACCUCUAUAAAAAUUCCCACAGCAUAAUAACACAGUGCAGCUAAGAACUGCAUUGCUUGACUUAAGGCAUAAUUUCUUCUUGUGGCCCUCUCAAGGAUCUUGGUCCUUGGAAGCCGGAAUAUUCUUAUCAUAUCGUCAUCGGAUAGAGAGUCAAGCAUGGUGGACGUUGUCCAUUUGUAGGCAUUUAUUUACACUGCCUGAGUUCUGCAUCACCUUCUGUGCUCAAGCUGUAGUAUACUUUAUAAAGCCGUCAUUGUUGAGCAUUUAAAAUGCGUAUAAAUACUGUUUUUAUUAGGAGAGUCAUUAGUACACCUGCUACUGAUGUACCUGAGGGAUGGAUGGAUAGAAACACCUUGGUGGCUAAUAAUCAUUCUAAAUUAACUAGCUAAAAUGAGUGAUUCAUCAAUAAUUUGUGACAGAAAUAGGGCUCAAUUUAAUUUAUCACAUUUCUUACAUUGUAAUUCUAUUCAUCUGUUAAUGGGUUUUUGGUUUUAAAAUAGGCUGUUUUCAAGCUUUUUUUUUCCAUAGUUUUCAUACUGUGGCUUGAGAUAAAUGAGAAGUAUGCCUCUUGAGAAUUGUCUGAGGAUUUAAAUAAAGGACAUAUAUAUGUAUAUAUA